rnacentral:rRNA from 1 species
UACGUAGGUGGCGAGCGUUGUCCGGAUUUACUGGGCGUAAAGAGCGCGCAGGCGGCUGGUCAAGUCCGAUGUGAAAGCUCCCGGCUUAACUGGGAAAUUGCAUCGGAAACUGAUCGGCUGGAAGGUGGGAGAGGGUAGCGGAAUUCCCGGUGUAGUGGUGAAAUGCGUAGAUAUCGGGAGGAACACCAGUGGCGAAAGCGCCUUGCUGGACCAUUACUGACGCUGAGGAACGAAAGCCAGGGUAGCGAAAGGG